UACGUAGGGUGCAAGCGUUGUCCGGAAUUAUUGGGCGUAAAGCGCGUGUAGGCGGCUUGGUAAGUCCGCUCUGAAAGCCCGGGGCUCAACCCCGGGAGGCGGGUGGAUACUGUCAAGCUCGAGUCCGGUAGGGGAGUGCGGAAUUCCCGGUGUAGCGGUGAAAUGCGCAGAUAUCGGGAGGAACACCAGUGGCGAAGGCGGCACUCUGGGCCGGAACUGACGCUGAGGAGCGAAAGCGUGGGGAGCAAACAGG
rnacentral:rRNA from 1 species